ACUCUAAGCGGUGGAUCACUCGGCUCAUGGGUCGAUGAAGAACGCAGCAAACUGUGCGUCAUCGUGUGAACUGCAGGACACAUGAACAUCGACAUUUUGAACGCAUAUCGCAGUCCAUGCUGUUAUGUACUUUAAUUAAUUUUAUAGUGCUGCUUGGACUACAUAUGGUUGAGGGUUGUAAGACUAUGCUAAUUAAGUUGCUUAUAAAUUUUUAUAAGCAUAUGGUAUAUUAUUGGAUAAAUAUAAUAAUUUUUAUUCAUAAUAUUAAAAAAUAAAUGAAAAACAUUAUCUCACAUUUGAAUGUGAAAAACGAAGAGAAAUAUUUUCUUUUUCAAUCAAAUAAUACUGAGAAAUGUCUAGCAUAAAAAAUUGAAAUAUUUUUCAUCUAGAAUUGUCUCUUAUUAAUGAUUCGGAAAUAGAAAAAUCUUGGUUAUGUUAUUAUUCUUCGUUGGUUCGUUAAAAAUGGAUAAAUAAAAACUUUGCAUACAAGAAUUAAUAAAAAUGUUAUAACGAAUUUAAUUAAAUGUUUUAUCAUUAUAUAUAAAGAAUUUAUGGCAAGAUAAAGUUAUAUACAACCUCAACUCAUAUGGGACUACCCCCUGAAUUUAAGCAUAUUAAUUAGGGGAGGAAAAGAAACUAACAAGGAUUUUCUUAGUAGCGGCGAGCGAAAAGAAAACAGUUCAGCACUAAGUCACUUUGUCUAUAUGGCAAAUGUGAGAUGCAGUGUAUGGAGCGUCAAUAUUCUAGUAUGAGAAAUUAACGAUUUAAGUCCUUCUUAAAUGAGGCCAUUUACCCAUAGAGGGUGCCAGGCCCGUAUAACGUUAAUGAUUACUAGAUGAUGUUUCCAAAGAGUCGUGUUGCUUGAUAGUGCAGCACUAAGUGGGUGGUAAACUCCAUCUAAAACUAAAUAUAACCAUGAGACCGAUAGUAAACAAGUACCGUGAGGGAAAGUUGAAAAGAACUCUGAAUAGAGAGUUAAACAGUACGUGAAACUGCUUAGAGGUUAAGCCCGAUGAACCUGAAUAUCCGUUAUGGAAAAUUCAUCAUUAAAAUUGUAAUAUUUAAAUAAUAUUAUGAGAAUAGUGUGCAUUUUUUCCAUAUAAGGACAUUGUAAUCUAUUAGCAUAUACCAAAUUUAUCAUAAAAUAUAACUUAUAGUUUAUUCCAAUUAAAUUGCUUGCAUUUUAACACAGAAUAAAUGUUAUUAAUUUGAUAAAGUGCUGAUAGAUUUAUAUGAUUACAGUGCGUUAAUUUUUCGGAAUUAUAUAAUGGCAUAAUUAUCAUUGAUUUUUGUGUUUAUUAUAUGCACUUGUAUGAUUAACAAUGCGAAAGAUUCAGGAUACCUUCGGGACCCGUCUUGAAACACGGACCAAGGAGUCUAACAUAUGUGCAAGUUAUUGGGAUAUAAACCUAAUAGCGUAAUUAACUUGACUAAUAAUGGGAUUAGUUUUUUAGCUAUUUAUAGCUAAUUAACACAAUCCCGGGGCGUUCUAUAUAGUUAUGUAUAAUGUAUAUUUAUAUUAUUUAUGCCUCUAACUGGAACGUACCUUGAGCAUAUAUGCUGUGACCCGAAAGAUGGUGAACUAUACUUGAUCAGGUUGAAGUCAGGGGAAACCCUGAUGGAAGACCGAAACAGUUCUGACGUGCAAAUCGAUUGUCAGAAUUGAGUAUAGGGGCGAAAGACCAAUCGAACCAUCUAGUAGCUGGUUCCUUCCGAAGUUUCCCUCAGGAUAGCUGGUGCAUUUUAAUAUUAUAUAAAAUAAUCUUAUCUGGUAAAGCGAAUGAUUAGAGGCCUUAGGGUCGAAACGAUCUUAACCUAUUCUCAAACUUUAAAUGGGUAAGAACCUUAACUUUCUUGAUAUGAAGUUCAAGGUUAUGAUAUAAUGUGCCCAGUGGGCCACUUUUGGUAAGCAGAACUGGCGCUGUGGGAUGAACCAAACGUAAUGUUACGGUGCCCAAAUUAACAACUCAUGCAGAUACCAUGAAAGGCGUUGGUUGCUUAAAACAGCAGGACGGUGAUCAUGGAAGUCGAAAUCCGCUAAGGAGUGUGUAACAACUCACCUGCCGAAGCAACUAGCCCUUAAAAUGGAUGGCGCUUAAGUUGUAUACCUAUACAUUACCGCUAAAGUAGAUGAUUUAUAUUACUUGUGAUAUAAAUUUUGAAACUUUAGUGAGUAGGAAGGUACAAUGGUAUGCGUAGAAGUGUUUGGCGUAAGCCUGCAUGGAGCUGCCAUUGGUACAGAUCUUGGUGGUAGUAGCAAAUAAUCGAAUGAGACCUUGGAGGACUGAAGUGGAGAAGGGUUUCGUGUGAACAGUGGUUGAUCACGAGUUAGUCGGUCCUAAGUUCAAGGCGAAAGCCGAAAAUUUUCAAGUAAAACAAAAAUGCCUAACUAUAUAAACAAAGCGAAUUAUAAUACACUUGAAUAAUUUUGAACGAAAGGGAAUACGGUUCCAAUUCCGUAACCUGUUGAGUAUCCGUUUGUUAUUAAAUAUGGGCCUCGUGCUCAUCCUGGCAACAGGAACGACCAUAAAGAAGCCGUCGAGAGAUAUCGGAAGAGUUUUCUUUUCUGUUUUAUAGCCGUACUACCAUGGAAGUCUUUCGCAGAGAGAUAUGGUAGAUGGGCUAGAAGAGCAUGACAUAUACUGUUGUGUCGAUAUUUUCUCCUCGGACCUUGAAAAUUUAUGGUGGGGACACGCAAACUUCUCAACAGGCCGUACCAAUAUCCGCAGCUGGUCUCCAAGGUGAAGAGUCUCUAGUCGAUAGAAUAAUGUAGGUAAGGGAAGUCGGCAAAUUAGAUCCGUAACUUCGGGAUAAGGAUUGGCUCUGAAGAUUGAGAUAGUCGGGCUUGAUUGGGAAACAAUAACAUGGUUUAUGUGCUCGUUCUGGGUAAAUAGAGUUUCUAGCAUUUAUGUUAGUUACUUGUUCCCCGGAUAGUUUAGUUACGUAGCCAAUUGUGGAACUUUCUUGCUAAAAUUUUUAAGAAUACUAUUUGGGUUAAACCAAUUAGUUCUUAUUAAUUAUAACGAUUAUCAAUUAACAAUCAAUUCAGAACUGGCACGGACUUGGGGAAUCCGACUGUCUAAUUAAAACAAAGCAUUGUGAUGGCCCUAGCGGGUGUUGACACAAUGUGAUUUCUGCCCAGUGCUCUGAAUGUCAAAGUGAAGAAAUUCAAGUAAGCGCGGGUCAACGGCGGGAGUAACUAUGACUCUCUUAAGGUAGCCAAAUGCCUCGUCAUCUAAUUAGUGACGCGCAUGAAUGGAUUAACGAGAUUCCUACUGUCCCUAUCUACUAUCUAGCGAAACCACAGCCAAGGGAACGGGCUUGGAAUAAUUAGCGGGAAAGAAGACCCUUUUGAGCUUGACUCUAAUCUGGCAGUGUAAGGAGACAUAAGA
rnacentral:rRNA from 1 species